rnacentral:tRNA from 1 species
GGAGGAGUACCCAAGUGGCUAAAGGGGACGGACUGUAAAUCCGUUGGCAUUCGCCUUCACUGGUUCGAAUCCAGUCUCCUCCACCA